rnacentral:lncRNA from 1 species
UGCCCUCCCCAGCUGCUGCUGAGCAGCUCCCUUGCAUUCACACCAAGGGCUGGACUCAUAUCAGCGUCACAGAAGCCCAGCGAUGGGCAUUAGUAAAUGAGAGUGCCUGGAACAACAUUAGAUAGAUGACCUGCACAUGACAAGACUAAAUAGCUGACCUCACUGAGUGCCGUCAGGCCUGGUAAAUCCCAGAGACUGUGUCACCCAGAUGCUCUGCCAUACAUUCACAGUUACAGUUCAUAUUCAACGUGCAAUUCAUGGAGUACAAAACAUGGAAAUACAAAGCAGCCUGGAAACCAAGUACCAGUGCAAGGAUGGAGAUUACAUCACUAACACAGCCAGCCAGAUGGAUGAUUUUAUCUCUGUCAUAGAUUUCAGGGGAUUCUGGAGCCAUUUUGCAAAGGAAGAAUCUGAAAAAUCUGGAAUUGGGAUCUACAGUUCUACUGCGUCGCUUUACAUAAUUAUGUACUGUUACCAAUGUGAUAAGGAGGGAAGGUAAAUAAACAUCAGAAAUUCUGAG